GCCCAACUCUUGGGUGCCUCCUCCUUCUUUUUCUACCAUGGACCACUAGCAAAGGGCACAGAUAAUGUAUCAUAAAAGUCACAAAAAUCUUAAAAAAAAUAUGGAUAAAAUCAGUACCAUAAGAAAAGAGUUUUGGUUUCUUAAAAUUCUAUCUCAUAGAAUUUGAAAUCCAAACUAAUUCCUUAUUUGACUUGAUCCACAACUACAUUCCAUAUAUGAGAGAGAG
rnacentral:lncRNA from 1 species